rfam:Triticum aestivum genome assembly, contig: Triticum_aestivum_CS42_TGACv1_scaffold_221621_3B
CUAGUACUCCCUCCGUCCCAAAAUAAAUGACUCAAAAGUGAGUCAACUUUGUACUAAUUUUAGUACAAAGUUUAGUGAUUUUUGAGUCACUUAUUUUGGGACGGAGGGAGUACAAA